UACGUAGGGGGCAAGCGUUGUCCGGAUUCAUUGGGCGUAAAGAGCGUGUAGGCGGCCUGGAAGGUCAGCUGUGAAAACUCGAGGCUCAACCUCGAGACGUCGGCGGAAACCAUCUGGCUAGAGUCCGGAAGAGGAGAGUGGAAUUCCUGGUGUAGCGGUGAAAUGCGCAGAUAUCGGGAAGAACACCCGUGGCGAAGGCGGCUCUCUGGGACGGUACUGACGCUGAGACGCGAAAGCGUGGGGAGCGAACAGG
rnacentral:rRNA from 1 species